GUCAGCAUGGUGUAGUGGUUUGAAUGUUGGACUAUGACUUUGAAGACUAGGGCUCAAUUCCCUUCUUGGCC